GAGGCAGCGCGUUGGGGGGGGGGGGGGGGGGGGGGGUGCGACACGGCUCGGGCCCGCCAGUGCCCCAACGGGGCCCUAGUGUUAUUAUUAGGGCCCGAGCGUAGCUGCUAAGCAGCUGCGAGAGCCCUCUUGUUCCUGAUGGAUUCUUCUUUCGUUAUUUUUCCUCUGCUUUAAACUGGAAAAUGGCCCACUUCCCACUGGCGAAAACUCAGGAAAUUUGGCAGGACGACCGGGCCUGGUGAAAAAUUCGAUAUUCUGAAGUCGCCCAAACAAUAAAAUGCAAAAUGGCUCCAUAGCGCCCCCUAAGGUGAAAAUUCACACUAUUGACUGUCAUGCCUGUACGCUUUGUCAUAUUGACACAAAAAUUGACACACACAUGUAUCUCAAUAAGAUCUACAAAAAAGUCAGUGCGGGCGUAUCUGUCAAAUGUACGGUUAAAGGGUUAUUUCGCAUUUUUUGCCGAUCCGCACACAUUGAAAUUUCGCUAACUCCUCCGAAGGC